GACGAACGCUGGCGGCGUGCUUAACACAUGCAAGUCGAACGGAAAGGCCCUGCUUUUGUGGGGUGCUCGAGUGGCGAACGGGUGAGUAACACGUGAGUAACCUGCCCUUGACUUUGGGAUAACUUCAGGAAACUGGGGCUAAUACCGGAUAGGAGCUCCUGCUGCAUGGUGGGGGUUGGAAAGUUUCGGCGGUUGGGGAUGGACUCGCGGCUUAUCAGCUUGUUGGUGGGGUAGUGGCUUACCAAGGCUUUGACGGGUAGCCGGCCUGAGAGGGUGACCGGCCACAUUGGGCCUGAGAUACGGCCCAGACUCCUACGGGAGGCAGCAGUGGGGAAUAUUGCACAAUGGGCGGAAGCCUGAUGCAGCAACGCCGCGUGCGGGAUGACGGCCUUCGGGUUGUAAACCGCUUUCGCCUGUGACGAAGCGUGAGUGACGGUAAUGGGUAAAGCAGCACCGGCUAACUACGUG
rnacentral:rRNA from 1 species